UAAAUUUAAUGGUCUUGACCAACAAAGUCACGACGGUAAAGAGUGUGUGAACCUUUGUGCAAAACAGUAAAUAUGUGGUCUCUUAGAUUAUCUGCUCGACAGUCUUCACCAGGACACUCAGUUUACAUGUUUUCUGGAGCAGCUGGAGAUAUUUCUACUCGAAGUUUGUCGCACAGUUGUUUGCGUGUGUGUAUUAGCUUCAAACAUUUAUGCUAGCUCGUUAGCCUACUGAGUAUAUUCUGUUAGCAUUCAUUAGCAAAAUGAAUGGACUUUUAGCCACUCUGUAGCUAAACCGACUUAAGCUCAAGGCUUUAGUUCACUGUUUUCCGACGUGGAAACCCUGAGGAUUUAUGAGACAGUGGCUACGAGGUGUCAAGUCAACAUUCAGAGUGUAUUGGACUACACAGGAGGGAUCACACACCUGCUCUUCACCUGAGACCAAGAGACUGGUGAAAACUACAGAGACAGCGCCAUCUUUGAACACCUGUUUACCGUCUGGUUCUUCACUAGAGACCGAGAGACUGGAUAAAGCUGCAGCCUGGACCCAGAACUCCUAAUCAAGGCAGCAUCUAUGUCUCCGGGCAGACCCCUCCAGAAGUGACCGAUGGGCAUGGGGUAGUUAUCCAGAACCCUGUUCCUACGCACCCUCCAGAACCAGCGGCCCUAAGGAGACAAAAUCGAGAGGUCCGGGGAAGUAGGCGUGAGCUAGGAAGCCCCCCUCUCCAUCGAAAGGCGAGCUGUCUCCGUGAAAACCUGAAGCGAAGAAGAUCAUGAUGUCUGGCUCCUUGCGGCGUCCAUAUUUGAUCU